UUGUCAUUUAAGGAGUAAAUGAUUCUUUCACUUUCAAGNGAAUGUAUACAUAUGGCAUAAUGAAUUCCAUUAUUAUGUAUAAUACAUUAAUAAAAAAUUUUAGAACUUCUUAUGGUAACAUUUACCGUAAAGACAGAAGAUUGAUGGCAUUUCUUAGUUUUAGUCAUACCUUGUAUCUUCAUGACAACAUCUGCCUUCAGUUCAAGUGUUUAGUAUAUUUACACUUACUGUAAUUUUGUUUUUGGUGGGAGGCAGUUGCUGAGAAUUGAACCCAAGGGCACUCUGACACUGAACUACACCCCCACCAUUUUUAUUUUGAAAUGGGAUUUUGCUAAGUUGCUAAGCCUAGCCUUGAACUUUCGAUCCUCUAGCCUUGACUUUCUGAGUAUUUGGGAUUAUAGGUGCUUAUCCCCCCAUUUUUUUUUUUAACAUCUGUUCAUUGUUCCUCUGGUUCUUCUUUUGUUUCUUUUGAAUUAAAUAUUUAAAAUUUUACUUUAACUUGCUUUUUGGCUAUACUUUUUGCAUAUUUUUAGUGAUCUUUGUGUAUUAAAAUAUAUAUUAAGGGGCUGGGGAUGUGGCUAAAGCGGUAGCGUGCUCGUCUCGCAUGCGUGCAGCCCGGGUUCGAUCCUCAGCACCACAUACAAAUAAAGAUGUUGUGUCUGCUGAAAACUAAAAAAUAAAUAUUAAAAAAAAUUCUCUCUCUCUCUCUAAAAAAAUAUAUAUUAACUAUUCACAGUCCACUUAGAAUUAAUAUUGCACAUAAAAUAUAAGAACCUUGCAACUUUAUGAGUCCAUUUACAUUUGUCAAUUAUAACUAUAUAUAUUUAAAACUAUAACACGUUUAUGGACAUGUAGUAUGUUGCACAUAUUUAAAUUAAAUGUAACUUUGAUGGUACAUUUUGAAAUGUUGUGUGCCCAUGAAGCCAUCA
rnacentral:lncRNA from 1 species